rnacentral:rRNA from 1 species
GAUCUCAAAUCAGGUAGGCUACCCGCUGAACUUAAGCAUAUCAAUAAG